rnacentral:misc_RNA from 1 species
AGAGCAAUCGAGCAACUCACAAGGGGAAGCUGAGAACUCGUCAUCACCGAUUUCGGCCAAAUUCACAGUAUAUGUUGGGCUCGACUAGAACUAAAAGUGAGCCAAGUAAAAAGACGAGAUGGCCAAGCGUUUUUCAGAUAUUAUUGUUUAAACAUUUUAUGGGUAGUAGACCAGCUUUUCAAGUGAGUUUCUAACGGGGAAUAGCAGUCAGCGAAGCGGCAAGCGUUCGGACUCAUAGUGCGAGGCUCGUGGUAUCCACUCUGUUACAGGCACAGAGUCAAUUUUACUGUCUGACAUUUUCGAAAGAUUUGAUUCUCGCUGGCGCGCGGCGUUCCGAUUUUGAUCUUACGCGUCAAUCGAGAAACUGGCAAUUGUGUAGCUUGCGGGGUUGCGAAAAGCGCAUACAGAAAGCAAUCGAAUUAGCACUAGGUGAAUUUUCU